rnacentral:rRNA from 1 species
UACAGAGGUCUCGAGCGUUAGGCGGAAUCACUGGGCUUAAAGCGUGUGUAGGCGGAUCGUUACGUACCUUGUGAAAUCCCACGGCUUAACCGUGGAACUGCUUGGUAUACUGGCGGUCUUGAGCCAGCUAGGGGCUACCGGAACAAAUGGUGGAGCGGUGAAAUGCGUAGAUAUCAUUUGGAACGCCAAUGGUGAAAACAGGUAGCUGGGGCUGUGCUGACGCUGAGACACGAAAGCCAGGGGAGCAAACGGG